rnacentral:misc_RNA from 1 species
AAGUCGUAACAAGGUUUCCGUAGGUGAACCUGCGGAAGGAUCAUUAUUGAAUAAACAUGAUGUAGUUGUAGCUGAUCUUCUAGGAGAUAUGUGCUCGCUCGUCAUCUUUUAUCUUUCCACCUGUGCACUUUUUGUAGACAUGGAUGUAACAUUUUCGAGGAAACUCGGUAUGGAGAAAUGCUUAUAUUUGCUUUUCUUGUGCAUUCCUGUUCUAUGUUUUCAUAUACUCCAAAAAUGUAACAGAAUGUAACUUUUGGGCCUUGUGCCUAUAAAACUAUAUACAACUUUCAGCAACGGAUCUCUUGGCUCUC